UCGAUCUCAAAUCAGGUAGGAUUACCCGCUGAACUUAAGCAUAUCAAUAAGCGGAGGAAAAGAAACUAACAAGGAUUCCCCUAGUAACUGCGAGUGAAGCGGGAAGAGCUCAAAUUUAAAAUCCGGCGUGCCUUUGGUCGUCCGAGUUGUAGUCUGGAGAAGCGUCUUCCGUGUUGGACCGUGUACAAGUCUCUUGGAACAGGGCGUCAUAGAGGGUGAGAAUCCCGUCUUUGACACGGACUACCAAUGCUUUGUGAUGCGCUCUCAAAGAGUCGAGUUGUUUGGGAAUGCAGCUCAAAAUGGGUGGUAAAUUCCAUCUAAAG
rnacentral:rRNA from 1 species